rnacentral:tRNA from 1 species
GGGUGGGUUGGCUCAGUGGUUAGAGCGUAGGUCUCGUAAACGAAAGGUUGCGAGAUCGAAUCGAAUCCCGCUAG